rnacentral:rRNA from 1 species
GAUGAACGCUGGCGGCGUGCCUAAUACAUGCAAGUCGAGCGAACAGACGAGGAGCUUGCUCCUCUGACGUUAGCGGCGGACGGGUGAGUAACACGUGGAUAACCUACCUAUAAGACUGGGAUAACUUCGGGAAACCGGAGCUAAUACCGGAUAAUAUAUUGAACCGCAUGGUUCAAUAGUGAAAGACGGUCUUGCUGUCACUUAUAGAUGGAUCCGCGCGGCAUUAGCUAGUUGGUAAGGUAACGGCUUACCAAGGCAACGAUGCGUAGCCGACCUGAGAGGGUGAUCGGCCACACUGGAACUGAGACACGGUCCAGACUCCUACGGGAGGCAGCAGUAGGGAAUCUUCCGCAAAGGGCGAAAGCCUGACGGAGCAACGCCGCGUGAGUGAUGAAGGUCUUCGGAUCGUAAAACUCUGUUAUUAGGGAAGAACAAAUGUGUAAGUAACUGUGCACGUCUUGACGGUACCUAAUCAGAAAGCCACGGCUAACUACGUG